rnacentral:rRNA from 1 species
UACGAAGGGGGCUAGCGUUGCUCGGAAUCACUGGGCGUAAAGGGUGCGUAGGCGGGUCUUUAAGUCAGGGGUGAAAUCCUGGAGCUCAACUCCAGAACUGCCUUUGAUACUGAGGAUCUUGAGUACGGGAGAGGUGAGUGGAACUGCGAGUGUAGAGGUGAAAUUCGUAGAUAUUCGCAAAGAACACCAGUGGCGAAGGCGGCUCACUGGCCCGUAACUGACGCUGAGGCACGAAAGCGUGGGGAGCAAACGGG